CUGCAUAUCUGUCGGAAAUCACCUUGCUAUCGUCCGCCCACACCGAGACCCAAGAUAUGAGGGCAACAGCAAAAAGUGACAACUCCAUUUGGCGACAGCAGGGCGAGGCCCUUGGUAACGACACUCUGCUGAAAAGGCCCACCAUAUGGCUCUGAAUUAUUUAAAGGAAGGAACACACAUCCUGAGUCGCGGCACACGUCCGGUCCGCAUAUGUGCCGGCCGGGUUAACGCCGGAUUCAGACACCAAUUCCUGGCUCGCGAAGAGAAAAAUCGGGUGACGGGAAGGUGAGGAGGAACCAGCGUCUGCGAGCUUGCGUCCGGGGCCAGCGGACUCCCGCGGCGCCAUCCGAAAGGACAGACGAUAGUCCAUUAGCGGGCACGGCGGGGAGCAGGGCGGGGACCACGGCUCGGGCCGGGGGCCGGGGUACCGAAUGGGAAGCGGCCCUGUUCUCCCCGGAAAGAAGGAGGGGAAGGCAGAGGAGCAUCAGGGAGCGGGUGUCGUCUGGAUAAGAGGGGAGUGUGUGGAUUAGGAAGUCUCCCUGUCCUGCCAUAGAGGGGGACGAUAAGAGUAAAUGCACGCAUGAACGGGCACUCUCUGGUCAUGUCGGCCUGCCGCCCAGGCCUGUGUGGCCUGAAUGGGGAAUGAGGCUGGGAGGCUGUGAGGGGCUGGGGCAGUAACCUGGGCCGGCUGCCGGGCUGGGGGGUAAUUGCAGUCCUGAUGCAGCUCUGGCCUCAGCGACAAGUAAUUACAUCCUUAAAAGGCCCUUAAAAGCGACCCAAGCGCUGCCAGGUUUUUUUAACCCCGUCUUUGUUGUUCUUUUUCCUGGGGUAUAAAUGGCCGCGCUGCCGGUCCCGUGUGUCCUGAAACGAGCUACAUCUCCACCGAAGACGACCCGAGCUGGGAGUGACGGGUCGGCCUGCCGGGCCGAAUCGGCGACGGUGCCACCCGCCUGCCCCACAUGCCGAACACGCCGGCGGACAAGACGGACGUACCUGCAGAUUCAGAGAAAUAGCUAGAAACACUCUGUUCAGUGUCCGUUGCUUAGUUUUCACAUCAGUUGCUGUUUAGUUGGUUAUUAAAUAAAUCAUUUAUUUCAUAUCAGUUUAUUAAAUGUUGAACGAUGUGCCGCUGCGAUUUCCACCGAUGUCUUUGCAGGUAUGUUAGGUAACUUUAGUACUCAGUAAACAAAAGGAAAGGUGAAAUGUUUGAUAAUCACCUUAACACUUAUAUCAUACAUACAUACUGUGCAUGAUAUACUACAAGGACCGAUGGAAAAAUUUUGGCAGAAU